CAUGUCCUUUUGGUAAUAAUUUAAGGUCUAAUCUGCUCAAUGAAUAAUUAAAUUGCCGCAGUAUUUUAACUGUGCAAAGGUAGCAUAAUAAUUAGUUUUUUAAUUGGAAACUGGAAUGAAUGAUUGGACAAGAAAAUUUCUGUCUCUUGUUGUUAUUUUGAAUUUAAUAUUUAAGUUAAAAAGCUUAAAUGGUGUUUUUAGACGAGAAGACCCUAUAGAGUUUGAUUUAAUUUAAUUUUAUUAUUAUUUAGUAAUUUAUUAUUAUAUUAUUAAUAUUAAAUUUGGUUGGGGUGACUUAAAAAUAUAGAAAACUUUUUUAAAAAUUUAAUUAAUUGUGAUUAAAUAGUGAGCCUAAUUAUUUUAAGUUUAAUAUAAAUUACCUUAGGGAUAACAGCGUUAUUUUUAUUUGAAGUUCUUAUUUAAAUUAAAGAUUGCGACCUCGAUGUUGGAUUAAAGUUUACUUUUGGUGCAGUAGCUUAAAAGUUAAGUCUGUUCGACUUUUAAAAUUUUACAUGAUCUGAGU
rnacentral:rRNA from 1 species